rnacentral:rRNA from 1 species
CCAAUAGCGUAUAUUAAAGUUGUUGCAGUUAAAAAGCUCGUAGUUGAAUUUCGGGAUCAAUCUAUCGGUCGUGCAAUAGUACGUACUGAUUUUAUUGAUUCCUCCCUUCUGAUGAACUAUGAUGUCAUUAAUUUGGUGUCAUAGGGAAUCAGGACUGUUACUUUGAAAAAAUUAGAGUGUUUAAAGCAGGCUCACGCUUGAAUACAUUAGCAUGGAAUAACGAAAUAGGACGUUUGAUUCUAUUUUGUUGGUUUCUAGGAUCGACGUAAUGAUUAAUAGGGAUAGUUGGGGGCAUUAGUAUUCAAUUGUCAGAGGUGAAAUUCUUGGAUUUAUUGAAGACUAACUACUGCGAAAGCAUUUGCCAAGGAUGUUUUCAUUAAUCAAGAACGAAAGUUAGGGGAUCGAAGACGAUCAGAUACCGUCGUAGUCUUAACCAUAAACUAUGCCGACUAGGGAUCGGAUGAUGUUAAUUUUUUAGUGACUCAUUCGGCGCCUUACG